UUUCACUUGUGUUAUAAAAAUGAAUUUAACAUGUUUAACAGUAACAUGAUAAACGUGUUCACCUCUACAAAUAUUAACUAUGUGGUCUACCAACCAUGAACGACUUUACGCCGGGUUAAACUGUUAAACAUACCAUCAUGUUUCUUAACAAAACAAAUGUAAUAACAUCUGAUCUGGAGUAUGGAUAUCCCGUUUUUUGUACAACUAUAGUAGCAUUUUCCACAUUUAACAAAAUUGUUUCAAAGGUUAAUAUUCCGACGUCAGUGCGAACCGAUCCUUGUACAUGGAGAAAUCUUAUUGUUUCUGGUACACAUGGACUUAUAGCUGGUACAUGGGGAUGCCUAUGUCUGUUAUUGUAUCCUGAAUUAAUUGAAGAUCCAUACACUGCCAGCAAUCCGUGUAUUUUCCACAUGGUUGUAUUUUGCUCAGGUUAUUUUGUGUACGAUUUUAUUGAUUAUUUCAUAAAUGGAAAAUCAAUUCAACAAUGGGAGGUAACUCUUCAUCAUAUUGCUUGUAUUGCUAUAUUUUGGCAUAACUGGCACACCAAGACUUUUAUUGGAUACUCAUGUAUAGCACUAUUAACAGAGGGAAACAGUUUCUUCUUGCAUUCAAGAAAAUUAUUGCGAAUUUGUAAAAUCGGAUAUGAAUCGAUUCUUUACCGUGUUUGUGUUAUACUAAAUUUCGUCACUUUUGUUCUAUUCCGGGUGCUGCCGAUAAUGAUAGUUCUACAUGGUUGUUAUGUUACUUAUCAUCGACAUCCCAAUUUGUUUGUUGUUUUCAUGACAACUCUUUGUGCGGUGAUCGUUGCCAUUGUCAAUUCUGUACUGUUAUGGAGAUUGUGUAAAACAGACAUCAUUAUACCUUAUUGCCGAUGCAUCAAGACAGGAGAUAAACAACAAUCAGAAAACAACAAUAGUAAAAAAAUUGAUUGAUCAUCGAGCCAUCAAGUUGUUGGUAAAACGGACGUAUGCAUUCAAAAAUUAUCAGGAUACUAUUAGUAUUUUGUUCAAAUUGUCAAAAAGUUAUAAUUUUUUACAUUUUGCGUACAAACCUGAGCUGAGGUAUGAAUAUAAAAAAUAUCUAUUUUUUUUUAUUUCAACAAAAAUCUCAAAAAAAAAACCAAUAUUACUGCUUCUGCUUAUGAUAAAAAAAAAAUAAAAAAAAAUAAGCAAAGUCAUAAUAACAUAAUAAAUACGUAGAAAAAAAUAAUAUAAUAUGCAGGAUCUACAAUAUAACGUUCGAUUUAUGUCCGUUACUAUGUAAUAUUUCUGUGUCGUCAUUUUCGAACUAUGGAAACUAUUUCUUUUUGAGAAAUGAGUAUGUGCAUUUUAAUAUUUUUUAUAAACAUAUACAUUUUUAUACCUAAUUUUUAACGGUGCUUUUAAUAAUAUGUAUUAAUAAAUAUGUCAUUUAUGAUAUUUACUUGACUUGCCCAGGUUGUAAUGAAAUUUUCUGAAGUGUCGAUUUCCGUAUUUUAACAUGUUUUUUUUUCUAAUCUCUGCUGAAUUCGAUAAAUCAAGCAAAUGAGAUUUUUGAAGCUUUUACUAAACUGCAGCUAAAAUAAAUAUUUAACUUUACUUAACCAAAUAAUAGCCAAUAUAAUUAUUGCUAUUUGUAUAAUUUUUCUACUUUUUUGCAGCUAAUAAUCUUCCAACUAAAUGAAUAAAUCAUAAUAAAACUAAAAAUAAAUAAGGAAUAGUAAAAAGUCAAACCACUUACUUAACAAUAUUUCUAGAUGUAUCAUGUGAACAGUUCAAGUUUGAUUUACAAUAUUUCAUUAAAUUUUACAAUU